GACGAACGCUGGCGGCGUGCUUAACACAUGCAAGUCGAACGAUGAAGCCGGAGCUUGCUCUGGUGAAUUAGUGGCGAACGGGUGAGUAACACGUGAGUAACCUGCCCUUGACUCUGGGAUAACUGCUAGAAAUGGUAGCUAAUACCGGAUACGACCCUCGGAGGCAUCUCCAGGGGGUGGAAAGAAUUUCGGUCAAGGAUGGACUCGCGGCCUAUCAGCUAGUUGGUGAGGUAACGGCUCACCAAGGCGACGACGGGUAGCCGGCCUGAGAGGGUGACCCGCCACACUGGGACUGAGACACGGCCCAGACUCCUACGGGAGGCAGCAGUGGGGAAUAUUGCACAAUGGGCGCAAGCCUGAUGCAGCAACGCCGCGUGAGGGAUGACGGCCUUCGGGUUGUAAAACUCUUUUAGUAGGGAAGAAGCGAAAGUGACGGUACCUGCAGAAAAAGCACCGGCUAACUACGUGCCAGCAGCCGCGGUAA
rnacentral:rRNA from 1 species